GAACACUGAGUUUUUACAUAUGCUCCAUAUGUAGGGAAACUGUUUGAUACAAUAGCUAUAAGAAAUAAGCAUUGUGUGCUCUACUCACUGCCCUUGGAUUUUCAUUUGGCCCAACUCUGUGGAGUACAGGCUGGGAAAACAGGCCAACAUGCAGAGCAACUGUUGAAUAAAAUAGGUACAGGAAAUAUGCACCAUGUACUCUACUCACAGUCCUUGGAUUUUCAUUUUAACGUACAUUUUUCAAUUUUGGUUCAGAUCUGCCAUUUGUUGAAAUUGGCAUUCAGCCCUUAGCAACUGAGAAACUUUUUAAGGUUAAACAUUGGUGUUUCUGUUUAAGAAAUGCUAUAAUCAAUUAUGUAGAGUGUGUCUUCUAACUUCUAUGCGGCUCCUUUCACUGUAAAUGCGGCAAACAUUUGUGUUGACUGUUGAUCUGGUGGGCUACUGCAUGGAUUUGCCACAGACCAAGAAUCAGAGUGAUCCGACGAAUGUGGCCAUGCAAUUGUUGUUAGUUACAUUUGUUGAAUGUGGACUAUUGCUUUAACCAUUCCUUUUUCGAGCCAUUGAUUGUAUGGCUAACUAUCACAGUCCAACACCUUUGCUGAUUUUAUUUAUUUAUUUAUUUAUUUUUAUUUUUUAUUUUUUAUUUUUGCAGACAGUAAAACAAAACCAUCAUACAUAGGAUGCAUAACAACCAAGAACUAGAACAUAUAUAGGCAACCUUUAGUAGGAACAUACAGGUGAUUGCCAUGGUUGUAGGAGUCUAUUGUCUCUGUUCUAGUUAUGGAAGGAGUGGUUUCACCAGCAUGAUAUGGUGCAAAAUUGAUAGACAUAUGCAAUGAUUUUGGGGUUGAUCUCUUUUUCUCCAUUGAGUCCCUUGCAGACUUCUUAGUGUUUGGAGUGGCAUGAAUUUUCUUUUCUGGGACGGACGGGUGUUGCAGGUUUAGCUGGGGAAGGAGGAAGAUUGGAUGCCUGACUUGGAACUGAUGAUUUUGAAGUGGAAACUGUUGAUUUCUUUUUUGUUCUGGCCAAGUUCUGAUUAGCAGCAAACCUUUCCUUUAAUGGUGGCUUCUCCGAUUGGUGGCUGUAAUUAUUUGUAUCUCCAAGUUGCGGUGAGGAUUGAAUCUGCACUGGGGUCUCUAUGAUAAUUUUUUCUUCAGUUAAUGGAUCUGCUUCUUCAACCUUCGUUGUUUCCAGACCAUCCAUUUUUUCAUUCAGGUCUGACCCUUUUGCUUCAGUCAAGAACCCUGUGUUAAUUUCAGGUGACUCAACUCCAUCUGGUUUAUCACCACCUGCAUUGCUAUUUGAUUCCACCAACUUGUCAUUCUUAUCUACAAUGUCAAAGCUGUUAUCAGCAAUUUCUUAAGUGGCUGAAUCUCGUGCAUUGCCCUUCUGAACUCUGUCAUUCUCUUCUUGUUCCGAGAGACUAUUCACCUCAGCAUUUGCUUGCUCAAGCAAUGCCACCGCCUUUUGAGUGGUAAUUCUCUUAUAAUGGGCCUCAAAGUAAGCUUUCUUCUGAGCAACAGAGCCCGGGGUGGAGUAUUUCUGCAUCUCUUCCAAGUGCCUGUUAUGAGAGAAGGAUGACCAUUUUCCCCAAUCUAGAGAUUCUGACACAAACCUUCCAAAGGAGAUGGAUCCUUCCAAUACAGGGGCUGGAUCCACCUGUUGACUGUGGUGAUGAAGCGAGUUGUCAGUAGAAUGAGAGAAGCAGUUUUGUUGCAUAAGACAAGCUGAUUCUGCCAUUGCCUUUGCCUUUGCCUUUGUCUUUGUCUUUGCAGCAGCAGCAAGAAUGAACAGGGAAGCCCUCUAGAAUCUUGCCUUUCCUUUGAGAAAAAAUUGUGACCAUCCUUGGAUUGCAAAAUUGCAUGCAUAACAGGGGAUUUUAUUUAUUUAUUUUUAUAUGCAUUAGCUGUAUGAAUAGGGGAUUUGAUUUGGUUUCCAUAAGCAUUUUUCAUAUCAUUUUUACGACAAGCUUUUAGUUUUGAGUGGUGAAAUAAUACUGGAGUUGUAUUGAGUUAAUGCAAAUAUCCCUCGUGGUACCGGUGAUAUUUGCCAGCUACUUCUCGCUGUGAAUGCUAAGGUUUCAUCAUUAUUUUUUGUCACUUUCUCUUGGCUAAACUGAAUUCUUUAGGACUGAAACUACAAAAUCUGUGGGUACUGUUGCUAGGAUGCAGUUAAAGAUCUGUGGAGGAUGCUGAUGUUGUCUAUGUAGAUAUGCAACAUGCUGAGAAAGAAACAUGAUUGGAAAAUGCUUGUUGUUUUAAUACAUGCAGUAUUUUUAGAUGCAAGUUGUUUUAUAUGCUUGUUACCUUUCUUUGUCAUCAGAGUGGAAAAUGCACCCUUCCUAGCCAUUUGUCUGUUGGAGCAAGUGAUUUGAUCACCCAGAUCCUUGUUGUGGAUCCAAUUAAGCUAAUGACAAUUCCUGAGAUUCGUCAACAUCCAUGGUUCCAACAUCAUCUUCCUGGCUACCUUUUUUUUUUUUUUUUUACACACACCACCACACACUCACGCGUAGUGGAAUUUCACCACCUAUGGGUACUUGAACCCUCAACCAAGUGUUGCAACUCCUGAGAGUCUACCACCGGAGUAAGAGUAAGGAAUGGCUACUUAGCCAUUCCUGCAAUAGAUGUGUUGCAAAGAGUGAAACAGGUACUACACUUUCUUACCACUUGAUGCAUUAUGUAACAUGGGCCACCCUCUGAUGUGUGUACGUUGUAACUUCCCAAAUGGUGGUGACUCAUCCACCAUACAUAUGGCACUAAUCCAGACCUUCCAAUUUGGAGGUCCCAUUGUGGAUGGAGCCUACCUUGAAAAUUACACUAAUUAAGAAACUUCUAGUUUUAGCCUUCAAAUGGCCAGUUAAAAUAAAAUGGAUAGCGGUUCAAAUUCAAUGGCCAACACCAAAUAAAUUAGAUUGUCCGAUCAGUAUAAAUUUUGGCUAUGCUCCAUGCAAAACAGGCCCAUGAUUUGGAUGGUCUAGAUUGAUGUACUAGACUGUUUGGAUUUGAUUGGUUGUACUAGACCGUUUGGAUUUAUUAUAUUUAAAUGUUGGUUAUGCUCCAUCAAUUGUUUGGAUUGAUGUACUAGAUCAUUUGGAUAUGCUCCAACCUGACUAGCAUCUAUAGAGAGGGGUUUAGGCUUAGUAUAGGUGACUGAGAUGGUCACCUUGUAGUGAGUUUGUAUCAGUAAUCGUAAAAGAAAGAGUGGCCCAACCUUUCCAUAAGUCAUUCCUUUUUCUUUAUUCUUCAGUAAUUGGAGUUAGUUGCAUCAAGUAUUUCAUUCCCAAUGGAGUUCUAUUCAUAGGCAUAAAUACUCACAUGCUUGCAUUGGUUCACAUCAGACUCUGCUUCUUUUGCAGAUCAAAGCAUACAUCUUUUGCUCAAUCAGUCUAUGCCCUGAAUGCUGUAAUUUCAUCUCAUAAGGGCAAUAAAGCCUUUACGAGAUGAUGGUCUUGACACUAAUAUCAUGGCUUUUGAAGAACUGUGUUUUGAUCUUUGUACUUGCAUGGACUUGGAUGUUGUAUUUUUGAGGAAGAUGUUCUUUAAAAAUCUAGUGGGGUCAUAAUCCAAUACCAACUGCAGGUUUUUUGAGCGAAGAUAGGGCAUUUGAUCUUAAUGAUUGUCGUAAGAAUAUUCCUAAAAGCUGGGACAAGGAUACAAUGAUGAUUGAUUAAUUCACAACUUAUUCAUGAAUGAUUCUAUAGUUUAUGAAAAGUCAAAAAAGAAAAAAGGAAAAAGGAAAACACUUGUUUAAAAAAAGAAAGAUUUUUUUUUUUUUUCUUAAGAAUCCUGAAUCUCUUCCAAAAAUUUUGAAUCAAGUCUAAUUGCACUGCUGAUUUUUUUUUUUUCCAGCCUCCGAUAAUAUCUUCAUUUAUUAUUAUUAUUCAUGGACAUUGCUUAUUUACUUUGAAUUUCCCUUAUAUAUCUUUGUUGAGCUUUGCUCCGAAAUGCUUGCUAUACUUAUUUUAAGCAUCACUCUUUGUUUCUGCAUGAUAUCUCCAUCCAUUGAUAAUCACCAAUUUCUGUCAUAUUUAAAAGAGAAGAAGAGAAUUCAGUUGCAUUACCAUCCAGUGUGUGCUUAUUAUUCAACUAAUAAAAUAUUUUCCUAUCUUGCUCACUAUUAACUGGUCUUUCUAACAGAGGAAUUUUAUGGUUCUGCCGGCAAGAACCAGGCAAUGGUACAACUUAGACAACACCAUGCAUGGUUUCUACAUCGUCCCAGCUUUCAUGGACAAGCUUGUUGUCCAUGUCAGCAAGAAUUUCAUGACCUUGCCUAACAUUAAGGUGCUCCACUUCCAAGAGGUCAGGUGCUUGCUAAAAAGGUGGUUGAACCCAAUGGUGAUCACAUAGAGGAUAAACCAGUUGUUGCAGCUUCAUCUUCCCAUAAAUCAAUCCCUACCAUAGAUUGGAUUGGCCAUUGAAAGUCACCGGAUAUGCCUCAUGUUGCAGGCCCAGACAGAUGAUAUAUAGUUGGAUGGAGGGAUUUCUUUUAUAUGUAUUCAGAACAUUUUCAACACAUUAUUGUAAAUAUUAUAUAUUUUUCAUUGUAAAGUAAUACAAUUUAUUUAGUAUUCAUUUUUAA